AAUUUGAUAAAUCAUGAUUUCCGUAUCUAAACGUUUGACCGUCUGUCUUAUUUAAAAAAAAUAUGAAAAAAAAUUAAAAAGACAAGUCACGCAUAAAGUAUUAAUCAUGUUUUAUCAUCUAUCAAUAAUGAAAAUACUAAUUAUAAAAAAAUUUCAUAUAAAAUGGACAGUCAAACGUUGGCACGGAAACCCACAGUUUAUCUUUUU
rfam:Oryza glumipatula chromosome 5, whole genome shotgun sequence.